GCUUUACACAUGCAAGUCGAACGGUAACGCGGGCUUCGGCCUGGCGACGAGUGGCGGACGGGUGAGUAAUGCAUCGGAACGUAUCCUUUUGUGGGGGAUAGCCCGGCGAAAGCCGGAUUAAUACCGCAUAAGCUCUGAGGAGGAAAGUGGGGGACCUUCGGGCCUCACGCUGAAGGAGCGGCCGAUGUCAGAUUAGCUAGUUGGUGGGGUAAAGGCCUACCAAGGCGACGAUCUGUAGCUGGUCUGAGAGGAUGAUCAGCCACACUGGAACUGAGACACGGUCCAGACUCCUACGGGAGGCAGCAGUGGGGAAUUUUGGACAAUGGGGGCAACCCUGAUCCAGCCAUGCCGCGUGCGGGAAGAAGGCCCUCGGGUUGUAAACCGCUUUCA
rnacentral:rRNA from 1 species